AUCUGUCUGGGGUGGAAGUAAUGACAUCUGGUUCAUAAGGGUGCAUCUUGAGCAACAGCUGAAGACUAUGUGUAUUAUUACAUAGUUUUAAUGACACAAGCUCACUUAUGUGAUAAAGCUGUGAUUUUAGCAGGAACACCUUGCUCUACAGAGGGAGAAGCAGCACAUCACUUCCUCCACACCAUGGCUUACAAUGCUCUGCAAUGAGACUUGUAGUGUCAACACAAGUUGAGAAAUAAGCAGAGCAGCGUACAGAGAGCCACACACAUACUACCGUGCAUGCUGCACCAAUCAUGCAGAUUUCAAAUUCAUGGAUGAACCAAUAUCACUUUUUAUUAAAUGGUUGUGCCUAUCUGCUUUUGGAAUGACAAGAAAUCUUGAAGAGAGGAACUUCCAGGUGGUUUUCUAAUAGCAAAGAAAUGACAACAGGUCAAAUUUCCAUUUACGUCCCCUAAGCCACCACUACUAUAUAUUCAGGGCAUUCAGAAGGUCCACUGUGGAUGCUAAGAAAGAUACGUGUUCCUAAAAAUGUGCACACAAAUUUAGACACAUUAUGUCCUCAGCCUUCAAAUAUCAGUUUAAUAAGCAAAACUGUUUCAAGCACUAUUGUAAUUCAAUCUAACAAUAAUGUAAGAUUUUUCUGAACUCUCCACUGGCUGAAAAGUACUGAUGUUCGACUGUCAUCUCACUGAAAUGUCCUGGUAGACAUCUAAGCCUUCUGACAUAUUGCAAAUAAAAUCUCUUUCACUGGUUUGUCCACACAAGAGAGACAUCUUUUAGAGUAUGCAGCCUCACUGCUCCUCUGAUACAAGAAAAGAACUACACAGGCAGCAGCUCAGAGAGGGUAUCUGCUCCUGUUGUGUGACUUCUGGUGGGGAGGAGUUUCCCUCUUUUUUUUCAGUGUCACAGAACACAGCUUGUUUUCUGGGAGCC